AUGCAGCUCUGGCAUGGCCUGGUGAUCGCGGUGGUGUCCCUCAUCCUCCAGGCCUGCCUCCUCACUGUGGCUGGUUAUGUAUUCAGCAGGCGCAUAGGCCAUCAGAAUGAACGGGUGCUUCAAGUGGUCAGGAUGAAGGCCCAAGAGUCUGGCCCUUCCCCCCAGCCCCCACUGGCUGCCAAGGAGACUGCAGAAGCUUGGACAGAAAGAAGCACCCCUCUGUGUGCUCCCCGUUACAGGCGUGAGAGCAACACAUUAGACAGCUCAGACAGUUCAGACAGCUCGGACAGCUGCCAGGUAAGGACAAUCCCAGGGAACUCAGCCUCCGUGUGCAGCCUGGGCUUCCUGCUGUAAAGGAGGGAACUGAACUCAAGCUGCUCCAGCUGUGUCAGAGGGAACAAUAAAAGAGGCCUUACAGCAUCCCCAGAUGAGAGUGUUGUGCUUCCUCCCAGAGUCACAUCAGCGUGUAUAGCCUAAGCAAAAUGGGUCUGAGCAGAGACACAAGUGAAAGUGCUAAUGGGAAGCCCACUUUCCCGCCAGGCCCCAGUCAGUAGGCCCAAAUCUGCACUGGAUCCUGACCUCACUUGUUUGAGUUCACAUCUUUCCUUCCCAUCCACUGAACUGCUCACCCUAAAACCUGUUCCCUGCAAACAGGUGGGAUAUAGCCAUUAGCAUCCUCCUCGAUGCUCUGGCUUUGCUUUCACACAAAGCCACCUGGAUCCCCAUGCUUCCCACCAAGCCUUGGGCAAGUCUUUCUGAGCCAGAGCUCAGUCCCAGGUCUUACCUCCUCCGAGUAUGGUGCAUAUCUUGCCCCAACAUGUCUCUGCUUUCUUCCUAGAUCACCAAGGAUGUGAAUUAUACACAAGUGGUCUUUUCAACCCCUGGAGGACUAAACAGGGAAUCUUCCCUGGACUAUGAGAACAUAAAGGAAGCCACAGAUUAUGUCAAUGUCAAUCCAAAAAGCGACAAGCCUAAUUUUUGGGCAUUUUCAAACCCUGCUGUCUCUGAGCCAGUAGAAUAUACUCAAGUGGUUAUAUGAACUCUAGUGGUUAUUUUUUUAAAACUAAGCUGCCUCUCUAUUGAUGGAUUUAUUUUGCAUGGGAAUUCUUUUAAUUUAAAGAAAUGGUAUAGGGAAAAAAAUAGGUCUUACUCCAGAAAGAAAGCUCAAGAUCAGAUGUUAGGAAGAACUUCCAAGUAAAAUUUGGAAACGCUGGUACACAUCAGUAGAGAAUGUGAUGAGGUCUUUUAAAAAGUUUUAACAAGCUGCAUGAAGUCCUAUUUGGUGAUCUUAAGGUCUCAUGACUUCUCUUUGUUUAUUUGCAAUAAGUAAUUUUCUUAAAAAUUUUAAGUAGAAUUGCAAUCACUGGUUCCUCUUUCCCUCUUGCCUAAUUUUGCGUGUUGACCCUUUUAUCAGUGAUGUAUUUUGCUGAGUAAUUAUGCUUUGCCUUUAGAAUUUCAAAUAAUUCACUUACAAAGCCUAUCAUCAAUCAGCCUUUGAGUUUGCCAUUUUUUUUAACAAGCCCAAGAUGACAAAGAAAAUCAUAGUCAAUAUCUGGUAGUAUCACAGUUGGCAUUCCAAGGUAAACUUUUCAGAAUUUAAUACAGUAAAAUUCAAUGUCCACUCCUGGGUUUUUAAAAAAGCAAUUAUAAAUAAAAAAGUCCUUCUUGAUUUGAUUAAGAAUUGUUUAUUUCCAAAUCAGCAGGUAACCUGAUAUUUAAGUGUGAGAUCCUAGACAGAGUCCCACUGAGACAGGAAUGAAGUAAGACUGUCCACAAGCCUGCUAUUGCCUUACAUUGGCUCACAUUGUGCAAGUUUAGAAGUUCUGUCAGUGCGACAUCUACAGCAAGCCAGGCACAGAGCUGCGCACUUAUGGUUCCAGCUAGGCCGACUUAGGAGGAUCACUUGAAUCCAAGAGUUUGAGAUCAGCCUGAGCAAUCUAGUGAGACACUCAUUUCAAAAACAAGUGGAAAUAAAACAUAACUAAAUAAUCGAGCUGUAAUUCUUGGAAAGGAGGGUAUAUUGUUCAUUGCAGAUGUCCUAGCCCUAGAAAGGCACAGGGAUGUCAAAUGUUUUAAAGCUGACAAUGUGUAGUAAGCAGUGAUCAGCUAUACAUGUUUUCCGAUAGCAAAGCAAG
ensembl:lincRNA